UAUGGCUGGCUUGUAUAUUUUUUGAGCUGUGAUAGUGUCCGGAUACGCCUCAACUCAUCGAGGCCCGUGAAAACCCCGCCUAUUUCUGGCGGGGUUUUGCUUUUGU
rfam:Pseudomonas fluorescens HK44 Contig19, whole genome shotgun sequence.